rnacentral:rRNA from 1 species
CUAAGGCCGAUGGCGACCGGCGCACGGGUGAGUAACACGUAUCCAACCUGCCGAUAACUCGGGGAUAGCCUUUCGAAAGAAAGAUUAAUAUCCGAUGGUAUAUUUUCUCCGCACGGUGAGAAUAUUAAAGAAUUUCGGUUAUCGAUGGGGAUGCGUUCCAUUAGUUUGUUGGCGGGGUAACGGCCCACCAAGACCACGAUGGAUAGGGGUUCUGAGAGGAAGGUCCCCCACAUUGGAACUGAGACACGGUCCAA